rnacentral:rRNA from 1 species
GACGAACGCUGGCGGCGUGCUUAACACAUGCAAGUCGAACGAUGAAGCCGGAGCUUGCUCUGGUGAAUUAGUGGCGAACGGGUGAGUAACACGUGAGUAACCUGCCCUUGACUCUGGGAUAACUGCUAGAAAUGGUAGCUAAUACCGGAUACGACCCUCGGAGGCAUCUUCAGGGGGUGGAAAGAAUUUCGGUCAAGGAUGGACUCGCGGCCUAUCAGCUAGUUGGUGAGGUAAUGGCUCACCAAGGCGACGACGGGUAGCCGGCCUGGGAGGGUGGCCGGCCACACUGGGACUGAGACACGGCCCAGACUCCUACGGGAGGCAGCAGUGGGGAAUAUUGCACAAUGGGCGCAAGCCUGAUGCAGCAACGCCGCGUGAGGGAUGACGGCCUUCGGGUUGUAAACCUCUUUUAGUAGGGAAGAAGCGAAAGUGACGGUACCUGCAGAAAAAGCACCGGCUAACUACGUGCCAGCCGCCGCGGUAA